rnacentral:rRNA from 1 species
AUUGAACGCUGGCGGCAUGCCUUACACAUGCAAGUCGAACGGCAGCACGGGAGCAAUCCUGGUGGCGAGUGGCGAACGGGUGAGUAAUAUAUCGGAACGUGCCCAGUCGUGGGGGAUAACGUAGCGAAAGCUACGCUAAUACCGCAUACGAUCUACGGAUGAAAGCGGGGGAUCGCAAGACAUCGCGCGAUUGGAGCGGCCGAUAUCAGAUUAGCUAGUUGGUGGGGUAAAGGCCCACCAAGGCGACGAUCUGUAGCUGGUCUGAGAGGACGACCAGCCACACUGGAACUGAGACACGGUCCAGACUCCUACGGGAGGCAGCAGUGGGGAAUUUUGGACAAUGGGCGCAAGCCUGAUCCAGCAAUGCCGCGUGCAGGAUGAAGGCCUUCGGGUUGUAGACUGCUUUUGUACGGAACGAAACGGCGAGCUCUAAUAAAGUUUGCUAAUGACGGUACCGUAAGAAUAAGCACCGGCUAACUACGUGCCAGCAGCCGCGGUAAAAC